rnacentral:rRNA from 1 species
GACGAACGCUGGCGGCGUGCUUAACACAUGCAAGUCGAACGGAAAGGCCCUGCUUUUUUGGGGUGCUCGAGUGGCGAACGGGUGAGUAACACGUGAGUAACCUGCUCUUGAUUUUGGGAUAACUUCAGGAAACUGGGGCUAAUACCGGAUAGGAGCUCCUGCUGCAUGGUGGGGGUUGGAAAGUCUCGGCGGUUGGGGAUGGACUCGCGGCUUAUCAGCUUGUUGGUGGGGUAGUGGCUUACCAAGGCUUUGACGGGUAGCCGGCCGGAGAGGGUGACCGGGCACAAUGGGACUGAGGUACGGCCCAGACUCCUACGGGAGGCAGCAGUGGGGAAUCUUGCACAAUGGGCGGGAGCCUGAUGCAGAAACGCCGCGUGCGGGAUGACGGUCUGUGGGUUGUAAACCGCUUUCGCCUGUGACGAAGCGUGAGUGACGGUAAUGGGUAAAGAAGCACCGGCUAACUACGUG